rnacentral:tRNA from 2 species
UGUCCUAUGGUGUAAUGGUAGCACACCGGUUUUUGGUACCGUUUGACUAGGUUCGAGUCCUAGUAGGACAA